GAUCCGAAAAUCCAUAACCGGGUAGAGAAGGUGCAAUUAUUUCAAAAACGAAAUCUUUAUCAUCUUGUGGAGUUGUCAACAUUGGAAUAAUCUUUUGGAAUUCAACUACCGAUCCAGGCCAUCCAUGGACCAUAAGUAGCGAACUUACUUAAAAUAAUGCGCUAUUCCUACUGUGAGGAUUAAAAUUGGAGGUACUGCUUUCCACAUCGUGCACACCGUUUUCAGAACUGUUUGUAACUGACAACAACGGCAGGUUGCUAGCAAAACAACUAUACCUGAUUGAGAAACACAUCUUCAGGCGCUCGUUAUAUAUGAAGAUCAUAAGUUAGUUCAUGUCGAAAAAAAAAUUACAGGUAUAUUACAAAAAAGAAGAUAAAAAAAAAAUAAUUUUAUUUUAAUAACUUUUUAAUCAUUUUAUUUAGAAAAAAAUGAUUUGACAAAGAAAUUACACAUUAAAAUUUAAAUAAAAAUAGACUUUUUUAAUAUUAUUUUAAUUAUACAAAUUUAAUUUUUUAUAAUCAGAAUCAAUAAUCUAUAUGACAGUCAUAAAAAUUGUUUCUAUUUUAACAAUUUACAAAAAAUAGAAAAUUAAGAAAAAUUGAACAUGAAAAUAUUUUUAUUUAAUUUCUUUCACAAUUCAUUUUGUUCUAUAGAUUUUCAUUUUUUAUUUCAUAUUCGAUUAAUUCAAUAAUAGAAUGUAUGUAUUUUACUUUUAAAUUAAAUAAUUAGUAAAAUUUU